rnacentral:rRNA from 1 species
AACGCGAAGAACCUUACCUGGGCUUGACAUGUAAUGAACAACAUGUGAAAGCAUGCGACUCUUCGGAGGCGUUACACAGGUGCUGCAUGGCCGUCGUCAGCUCGUGUCGUGAGAUGUUUGGUUAAGUCCAGCAACGAGCGCAACCCCUGUUGCCAGUUACCAGCACGUGAAGGUGGGGACUCUGGCGAGACUGCCCAGAUCAACUGGGAGGAAGGUGGGGACGACGUCAGGUCAGUAUGGCCCUUAUGCCCAGGGCUGCACACGUACUACAAUGCCCAGUACAGAGGGGGCCGAAGCCGCGAGGCGGAGGAAAUCCUAAAAACUGGGCCCCGUUCUGGACAUGU